UCUUUGAGAUAGAAUGGGUGUAUCUGUUAUUCAAUUGGUACCACUAUGGGAUCAGGAUUCCCACUAUCACAAGGGGAUGGACAUACAACCAAAACACACACGAUGGUCAAAACAGUCCCUUGCCAAGUGACCCAAAACAUAACACACACCCCAACCAUGUCUAAAAGGAUUUUCAUCCACCCAAGGAUAAGGUUCACCAUACCGCUGAAUUUCAACAUUAUCAAUCUUAAACGGGUUAUCUCUAAAUUUUUGCUUCUUCCAAGUUUUUGUUUUGUUUUAUUUUUCUUAUUAUUCUAGUUAAGAUUAAUAUUAUUUUUUUUUUCUAACAAACUAAUUAUAUUUUCUAGAGACUUUGUACACUUUCUUAGUUAACCAUACUCUAUAUCUCACACUAUUUUAAUUCUUUCAAUUUGUCUUUUUUUCAUCCUUAUAGAACUCACUAACUCCCUUUAAUCAUACACUUUUCUGUUUAUUGUAAUUUAUUUAUGUAACAGCCCCGGAAAUGUGAAAAAAUGAAAUGAGUAUUUAAACACAUAAAAUGCGGAAGCGAGAUCAAAAUUUCAGUUAACAUCCCUUACACAAAAACCAAAAACGUACUUAAAAUAUAAAAGAUUAAACUAACUAAAAGAGAAACUCGAAAAUAAAACUAUGAGUAUGACUACAGAGUCUCUAGGCAUCCCCUUCGUCGUCCUCCUGCGGAACGGGCUCGGGAACCAUGUCUUCCUGAUCUGAAAUGGUUAAAUAAGGAGUGAACUACACUAACCCAGUAAGAACAUCACGAUAUCUCACCGUCACGGAGGUAAAGGUGGGUAGAAAAACACAAAAGACCAAUGGAGCAUGAUUUACAACAAAUCCUUUUAUUUAUGAUAAAACCUUUACCAUCCACUUACCUCGGUGGAAUUCAUGAAACAAUAUAAGAAAACAAUAACAUUAUCACAAUCAUGGAAUAAUAUAAGCUGUAAAACAUAGCACUUAUCACGCCUUUUGUAAUUCAAUCAUUAUACAACAUAUCAUUUUCUCAUUUACCAGCCUACUAGUAUCCAUGGGGGUCCAUAGGGGUCCCGUUACCCGUUAACCUUUAACAUUCAUAAUCAGUUUCCAGGGCAGUCCCCAUACCCCGUCCGGUAUGGGCGCCAAAACCAUAAACCUCAAUACCCCGUCCGGUAUGAGGGUGAAACGGGCCGUCCCCA
rnacentral:lncRNA from 1 species